CUUCACACCACUCUUCACUCUCCAGGCUCCAGGACUCAGCUGCAAAUUUGGGAAGGUUUUCUUGAGCCACCCCUGUUCCCCUCCCCGCUUUGUGGAGGACUCUGCCUCAUAAGAUUCCAAAACCCAGGAGGGAGCCAAGAACAGGAGGAGAGGUGGUGUCCUAACCAAUGGGGCCAGAGCAAGAGGAGUUUGGUCUUGUUGUGCAAGGCACACCAAGUGAGAUCUUAGUUCCCCAACCAUGGAUUGAACCCUGUGCCCUCUGCAUUGGAAAUGCAGAGUCUUAACCACUGCACCACCACAGAAGUCUCUGUUAGGAUUAGUCUCCUUUACAGUCCUCCUUGUAUUUUAUCACUAGAUGGCGGCAAUGCUCCCUUAACCAAUUUAAAUGAAAAGGAACAACUUUCUGGAGGAGUUGAAAUUAGUGAAGGCUUAUCCAAUACCUGUGUGGAUCAGCUGGUAAAGAAUUCACCUGCAAUGCAAGAGACCUGGGUUCAAUCCCUGGGUUGGGAAGAUCCUCUGGAGAAGGAAAUGACAACCAAC